rnacentral:rRNA from 1 species
UACGGAGGGGGCUAGCGUUGUUCGGAAUUACUGGGCGUAAAGCGCACGCAGGCGGAUUGUUAAGUCGGGGGUGAAAUCCCGGGGCUCAACCCCGGAAUGGCCUCCGAUACUGGCUAUCUUGAGGUCGGGAGAGGUGAGUGGAAUGGCGAGUGUAGAGGUGAAAUUCGUAGAUAUUCGGCAGAACACCAGUGGCGAAGGCGGCUCACUGGCCCGGAACUGACGCUGAGGUGCGAAAGCGUGGGGAGCAAACAGG